rnacentral:rRNA from 1 species
AACGAACGCUGGCGGCAGGCUUAACACAUGCAAGUCGAACGAGAUCUUCGGAUCUAGUGGCAGACGGGUGAGGAACACGUGGGAACAUCCCUUUCAGUUCGGAAUAACGUUGGGAAACUAACGCUAAUACCGGAUACGUCCUUCGGGAGAAAGAUUUAUCGCUGAAAGAUUGGCCCGCGUCUGAUUAGCUAGUUGGUGAGGUAACGGCUCACCAAGGCUACGAUCAGUAGCUGAUCUGAGAGGAUGAUCAGCCACAUUAGGACUGAGACACGGCCCAAACUCCUACGGGAGGCAGCAGUGGGGAAUAUUGGACAAUGGUCGCAAGCCUGAUCCAGCCAUGCCGCGUGAGUGAUGACGGCCUUCGGGUUGUAAAGCUCUUUCACCGGUGAAGAUAAUGACGGUAACCGGAGAGGAAGCCCCGGCUAACUUCGUGCCAGCCGCCGCCGUAA